rnacentral:rRNA from 1 species
UACAGAGGGGGCUAGCGUUGUUCGGAAUUACUGGGCGUAAAGCGCACGUAGGCGGCUUUGUAAGUUAGAGGUGAAAGCCCAGGGCUUAACCCUGGAAUUGCCUUUAAGACUGCAUCGCUAGAAUCGUGGAGAGGUGAGUGGAAUUCCGAGUGUAGAGGUGAAAUUCGUAGAUAUUCGGAAGAACACCAGUGGCGAAGGCGACUCACUGGACACGUAUUGACGCUGAGGUGCGAAAGCGUGGGGAGCAAACAGG